rnacentral:rRNA from 1 species
GUGAGGAAUUUUCCGCAAUGGGCGAAAGCCUGACGGAGCAAUGCCGCGUGAAGGAUGAAGGCCUAUGGGUUGUAAACUUCUUUUCUCAGAAAAGAAUUAUGACGGUAUCUGAGGAAUAAGCAUCGGCUAACUCUGUGCCAGCAGCCGCGGUAAGACAGAGGAUGCAAGCGUUAUCCGGAAUGAUUGGGCGUAAAGCGUCUGUAGGUUGUUUAAAAAGUAUUCUGUCAAAGAUUAGGGCUUAACCCUAGAUAGGCAGAAUAAACUUUUAAGCUAGAGUGUGGUAGAGGCAGAGGGAAUUCCCGGUGGAGCGGUGAAAUGCGUAGAUAUCGGGAAGAACACCAAAGGCGAAGGCACUCUGCUGGGCCAAUACUAACACUGAGAGACGAAAGCGAGGGGAGCAAAUGGGAUUAGAAACCCCAGUAGUCC